AACGAACGCUGGCGGCAGGCUUAACACAUGCAAGUCGAACGCUCGUAGCAAUACGGGAGUGGCGGACGGGUGAGUAACGCGUGGGAACGUGCCCUGAGGUACGGAAUAACUGAGGGAAACUUCAGCUAAUACCGUAUGAGCCCCGAGAGGGGGAAAGAUUUAUCGCCUUGGGAGCGGCCCGCGUCGGAUUAGCUAGUUGGUGGGGUAACGGCCUACCAAGGCUUCGAUCCGUAGCUGGUCUGAGAGGACGAUCAGCCACACUGGGACUGAGACACGGCCCAGACUCCUACGGGAGGCAGCAGUGGGGAAUCUUGCGCAAUGGGGGCAACCCUGACGCAGCCAUGCCGCGUGAACGAUGAAGGCCUUAGGGUUGUAAAGUUCUUUUACCCGUGACGAUGAUGACGGUAACGGGGGAUAAGCUCCGGCUAACUUCGUGCCAGCAGCCGCGGUAAAGUCUGUACU
rnacentral:rRNA from 1 species